UCAAACCGGAGGAAGGUGGGAUGACGUCAAGUCCUCAUGGCCUUUAUGUCUAGGGCUACACACGUACUACAAUGGCCGGUACAAAGGGCAGCCACUCAGCGAUGAGGCGCUAAUCCCAUAAAGCCGGUCUCAGUCCGGAUCGCAGUCUGCAACUCGACUGCGUGAAGUUGGAAUCGCUAGUAAUCGUAGAUCAGCAUGCUACGGUGAAUACGUUCCCGGGCCUU
rnacentral:rRNA from 1 species